CAUUUAUUUAUUUGUAUAUUUAAUUUAAAUGUGUUGUUAGUUAAAUAACAUGGCUAAUUACUUUAUGGGUUUUCAGAAAUUAGAAACUACAAUUCAAUUUUUACAGAAUGAAUUAAAAACAAGAAAUUCACCACAUACAACUCUCUAGACUUUAUACAAAUUUGGUAACAAUAUAUUUCUUAUAUCUGUUUUAUGUAGUUUAGUCUUUAAUAAUAAAAGUUUUUUUUUACAAAUAAUUAUUAGUUUUAAAUUUAUGAAUAUAUUAAUGCUCCAGUUAACCAGUCUAUAAAUAUAAAAUACAGAGCAAAUUUG